rnacentral:misc_RNA from 1 species
AAAACAACAAAUUCAUAUUUUUGCUCUUUUAUAGCUCAAAAUUUUCCUGUAAUUUCAGCCUAUUGGGUUCUUCUUUAACAGGAAAGUCAAAGGUUACUAUUUCUUGAUGUCUACUGUGGGCAAUCCGGCAAACAUAUUCUGGCAUGAAAAUCCAGUUGGGAAGGCGGAAAGGGAAAAGCUGCUUAACCAACAGGGAUGUGUUGUAUGGAUCACGGGUCUCAGUGGAUCAGGAAAAAGCACACUUGCAUGUUCCCUAGGUAGAGAGUUGCAGUCAAAGGGUAAGCUUUCAUACGUUCUUGAUGGUGACAACCUUCGGCAUGGUCUGAACAAGAAUCUUGGGUUCUCACCAGAAAGCCGAACUGAGAAUAUACGUAGGACUGGG